rnacentral:misc_RNA from 1 species
GUCAUUGCACCCCUCAAGCCCAGCUUGGUAUUGGGCCUUCGUCCCGGCGGGACGUGCCCGAAAGUCAGUGGCGGUCCAGCGAGACUUCAAGCGCAGUAAAUCAAACCCCGCUUUGGAAGGCUCUCGCUGCGCGCCGGCCAGACAACACCCGAAUUUUAAUGGUUGACCUCGGAUCAGGUAGGGAUACCCGCUGAACUUAA